rnacentral:rRNA from 1 species
GACGAACGCUGGCGGCGUGCUUAACACAUGCAAGUCGAACGGAAAGGCCCUGCUUUUGUGGGGUGCUCGAGUGGCGAACGGGUGAGUAACACGUGAGUAACCUGCCCUUGACUUUGGGAUAACUUCAGGAAACUGGGGCUAAUACCGGAUAGGAGCUCCUGCUGCAUGGUGGGGGUUGGAAAGUUUCGGCGGUUGGGGAUGGACUCGCGGCUUAUCAGCUUGGUGGUGGGGUAGUGGCUUACCAAGGCUUUGACGGGUAGCCGGCCUGAGAGGGUGACCGGCCACAUUGGGACUGAGAUACGGCCCAGACUCCUACGGGAGGCAGCAGUGGGGAAUAUUGCAAAAUGGGCGGAAGCCUGAUGCAGCAACGCCGCGUGCGGGAUGACGGCCUUCGAGUUGUAAACCGCUUUCGCCUGUGACGAAGCGUGAGUGACGGUAAUGGGUAAAGAAGCACCGGCUAACUACGUG